GCGUCAUCGCAGCACUAGUCCAACCCAUUGUGAACCUUACCUAUGUUCUGUUGCCUCGGCGGCGUGGUCAGCGCCCCCUCUGAAAAGAGGACGAUGCCCUCCCGCCGGCAGCACCAAACUCUUGAAUUUUACAGCGGAUUACAGUUCUGAUUUGAAAAGAAAAAACAAGUUAAAACUUUCAACAACGGAUCUCUUGGUUCUGGCAUCGAUGAAGAACGCAGCGAAAUGCGAUAAGUAAUGUGAAUUGCAGAAUUCAGUGAAUCAUCGAAUCUUUGAACGCACAUUGCGCCCGGCAGUAAUCUGCCGGGCAUGCCUGUCCGAGCGUCAUUUCAACCCUCGAACCUCCGUUUCCUCAGGGAAGCUCAGGGUCGGUGUUGGGGCGCUACGGCGAGUCUUCGCGACCCUCCGUAGGCCCUGAAAUACAGUGGCGGUCCCGCCGCGGUUGCCUUCUGCGUAGUAAGUCUCUUUUGCAAGCUCGCAUUGGGUCCCGGCGGAGGCCUGCCGUCAAACCACCUAUAACUCCAGAUGGUUUGACCUCGGAUCAGGUAGGGUUACCCGCUGAACUUAAGCAUAUCAAAUAAGCCGGAGGAAA
rnacentral:rRNA from 1 species